rnacentral:lncRNA from 11 species
UUUGUAAUGCUUUUUGGGACUUACUGGAUCACUUGCUUCAGAACUUACUCGGAGUAAGUUCCUGGCUGAGAGCCUACUAUGCCUGUCUCCUUGCAUCAUUGAAGAAGAAAUCUCAAAAGAAGGAUACAUGAAUUUAAUGCAAAAAACUUUAUACCCAGUUACUGCUCUUCUUCUGGUUCAUUCAGUAGAGGCUUAUAAAACAUUGCACACAGACAACAUUUGCCUUGUCCCCAGUGGAAUAUAUUCACAGCGCCUGACUAGUAGCUAUUGCCUGAAUACACCUGUGAGCACCUCUGGAAGAUAGGCUCUGCUGAAGUAUAUCUUCAAUUGGACUUUACGAGGCAGGAGGGUCAAGACACAUGCAAGCACCUUGAAUUCUACCUCUAACCACUGGAAACAUUGUUUAGCUCUCCAUUCACCCCUGUACCCAUUCCCAUGCCUUCAGUGAUCACAUUGUCUGUAAAGCAUGGCCAAGAAGUAAAACAUCUGAAGAAGCUAUAUUUCUUACAGUACUAUAGACUGCUGCUGUGAUGUAUCUUUGUGGAACAGAAGCACAUGUAUCUACAACAUCCUAAAAUAUACCUAGCUGUUUUGGUACUCUGAUUUGGGCAGGCUCAGCACAUUUGUCUACAUAAGUGAAGACAGCACCCUCAUCCCAUUUCAUCUACAAAAUCAUUGCAUUGGUGAGGGAGGAGCAUCAUCCACCACACCUUGAGAGAUCAUGAUGCUGUAAAUUUGAGAUUUUUCAAGGAUCCGCAGAUACCGAGGGAUGCUUGGUGAGCUUUGCUAACCACGAAUGUUUCGAGUCAGAAAUCAGGAAUUUCACCAGGUUGAUGGCAAAUGACAGAAACUUUUAUUCAAUAUGCACAGAAGAUACAUUUGUACAGCACUGGGUGCUCAAAGGGUACAAGCAUAAAGCAGGCAUCUUAUACAUAAGUGUUUUCAUGCAUUAAUAUUGCUAUGGUUAUUGUUGUUGUUGUUGUUGUUAUUAUUAUUAUUAUUAUUAUUAUUAUUAUUAUUAU